GCCUGGGUGGCUCAGUCGGUUGAGCGUCUGACUUUGGCUCAGGUCAUGAUCUCACAGUUGGUGGGUUUGAGCCCCGUGUCAGGCU
rnacentral:tRNA from 1 species